rnacentral:rRNA from 1 species
UACGUAGGGGGCAAGCGUUGUCCGGAAUUAUUGGGCGUAAAGAGCGUGUAGGCGGUCCGGUAAGUCAGCUGUGAAAGUCAAGGGCUCAACCCUUGAAUGCCGGUUGAUACUGUCGGGCUAGAGUCCGGAAGAGGCGAGUGGAAUUCCCGGUGUAGCGGUGAAAUGCGCAGAUAUCGGGAGGAGCACCAAUGGCGAAGGCAGCUCGCUGGGACGGUACUGACGCUGAGACGCGAAAGCGUGGGGAGCAAACAGG